AGUGAACGCUGGCGGUAGGCCUAACACAUGCAAGUCGAACGGCAGCACAGUAAGAGCUUGCUCUUACGGGUGGCGAGUGGCGGACGGGUGAGGAAUACAUCGGAAUCUACUUUUUCGUGGGGGAUAACGUAGGGAAACUUACGCUAAUACCGCAUACGACCUACGGGUGAAAGCAGGGGAUCUUCGGACCUUGCGCGAUUGAAUGAGCCGAUGUCGGAUUAGCUAGUUGGCGGGGUAAAGGCCCACCAAGGCGACGAUCCGUAGCUGGUCUGAGAGGAUGAUCAGCCACACUGGAACUGAGACACGGUCCAGACUCCUACGGGAGGCAGCAGUGGGGAAUAUUGGACAAUGGGCGCAAGCCUGAUCCGGCCAUACCGCGUGGGUGAAGAAGGCCUUCGGGUUGUAAAGCCCUUUUGUUGGGAAAGAAAAGCAGCAGGUUAAUACCCCGCUGUUCUGACGGUACCCAAAGAAUAAGCACCGGCUAACUUCGU
rnacentral:rRNA from 1 species